GGAACUCCAUACUGAUUUCAAUAUGGCUACACUAAUGUCCAUUUGUAAAGAUCUCCCACCCUCUGUGCACAUCAGCAUCUUCCCUCUUGACUUGCUUUGAGCCUAAAAUCUGAUCUGGUUUGAAGAAAGUUUCAUGAACUGCUGAGAAGAACCCAUUUACCACAGGUAUUGGGUGAAAUAAUUCUGCUGGUGUCUUGUCUGUGUGUCUCGGAGGCAGAGUAUGAGGUGCUGUUGAUGGACUCAGGGUCUUCUUGCAUGCUUAGCAGGUACAUUAUCUAUGCCACCACCUAGCUAACCCUCUUCUGAUGCUUAAAUCCUGAGCAGUUCCCGCAGUGAUAUACUGUAUCCAUGCACUCUCCAUAGCGAUACACUGUAUCCAUGCACUCUCCACAAGCAGUGGGGGGGAUUUUAGUGGUCUUUGCUACAAUGGGUACACAGGAUGAUAGACAGAACCCUGCCAAGGUGCCCUAAGGUUAAUAUGAAAAUAACCUGCCAAGACAUAAGUGGGAAAGAUGGAGAGUGAUGGGCAGCAUAGACUGUAGGUCACAAACCUACCAACACGGGGAAGCUUCGUGUAUACUUAAUAUUGUUUAAAAUAGCAUUGGCUGCCAGGCAUGGUGGACACACCUUUAAUCUCAGCAUUCUGGAGGCAGAGGCAAGCAGAGUGAGUCUCAGGACAGGCAGGGCUGCACAUAAUAAUCCUAUCUCAAAAAACUAACAAACGAACAGCAUUAACGAGCAUCCAGCCUAGUGUCCAGAAUACCCUACACUGCUCUCUCCCUCAGAGUCCUCCCACUGCACUAUGCUUGUGUUCUCCUCCUCAUCCUCCUCCAUUGUGUCCAUGCUCCUUUCCUUACGUCCUCCCUACCCUGUGCUCAAGCUCCUCCUCCAUCAUCCUAUUUCCUGAAUUAUGUCUACCAGUUUGUGGAUUUUGGAGACAGGGACUUUCUGGUCAGUUUCAUUCCUUGUGGAACAUUUGUUACAUGGCUGACUCUUUUUGUUGGUUUUUUUUUUUUUUUUAAUGCCCUUGGUAUAAGCAGUAAGCAAUGGACUUUAAGGCUAGAGCUGCCAGACCCAUUGGUCAGUCUUAAGGCGUUAUGCUUAAAUGUGCCUCCAGACUACCGUGUUUACCCUUAGUUCCCAGUUGCUAUGGCUAAUCUUGGUCAUCAACUUGAUAUACAUGGGAAAACAGAACAUCAAUUGAGGCACUGCCUUCAUCAGAUUGGCUUGUGUAUGUCUAUGGGCGGGGCAUUUUCUUGAUUGUUAACUGAUAGAAGAAGGCUUAGCUCGCUGUGGGUUGAGCCCCCACCCUGGGCAGGUGGUCCAUGAACCUGGAAACAAGCAGAAAGAAACCAUGGUUUCCGAAUCAAGCUACUUCUCUCGAUGAUGGACUAUAAUUUGUAAGGCAAAUAAAUCCUUCCCUUUUCUCCCCCAAGUUUCUUUUGGUCACAGAUUCUGAACACAGCAACAAAAAUCUAGGAGAGUAGCUGAAUGGUGUUGGUAAGUCGCUGACUUCAUUAUCAGAUAACUUAGUGAUGACUUCUGGGCUGAGGAAGCCAUAAGAGUGUGGUCCUGGCUGGGGGAGGACCACUGACACACACCCUGAGGGCUGUGACCUAUGUGCCUGUCCCCAGCUCCUUCCUGGGUCUGCCUCUCCACCACUAGGCCAGCAGCUUUGUCCCACACUUGCUCCUGCAGGAUGCUCAGUCGCACCAGCUCCCCACACUGGCUUGACACUGGGGCCAGAUGGAGGGGUACAGGAUGCUCAGGAACCAUGAACCCUGACAUACUCUCACUGAAGUUGUUCCUGUCAGGCAUCUCGUCACAACCAGAAAAUCCGGACACAUGUGCAGUGUGUCCACAGGACCUGUCACAGCCCUUUCUGGGGCUAAUAAUGCCAGCAGACUUGCUGGUCAGAGCUUGGAGUCUGAUACCUGGAGUCCUGCUUCCUGGUCUCUGCAGCCAGACGCACUCUACAGGCUCAAUAGGCAGGGUGGGGGAGGGGCUGAGACCCUGUAGUGACUCGAACUCUGGAUCAGGAUUUUUGACCUCAGUUUCCUGACUAUAAACUGAGAGGUUUCAGAAAGUAUUCCCUGGGGAAGUGGGACCAGGCAGACAUGGCCACUGCACCCCCAGCAUCCCAGCCUGAGGCACAGCUGGUUCUGAUUGUGGGGGCUCAGCUCCCCUUGGUGAAGUGAGCAUGUCAGGCAAAGACUGAAACUUAACCCCAGUCCUCAUCCCACUCCUCUCCAGGAGGAGCACAGAGGAGCCCUCCCAGUGGAUCCCUGUCUCCUGGGGUGAAGCUCCCAGGAAGUGGAUCUGGGGAAGCUCCAGCCAUGAGGACUAUGAAAAUAAACUGCCAACGAUGUGAAUGGGACAGAUUCAAAGUGAUGGAAGAUUUUCAGAGACCGCAGGCUGCACGCUGCGACAGGGAUCCAGAGAUGAACAUCUGCUUUUGGUGAGGGACGGAGCCCUGGUCCAGCAUCAAGUCAGCCAACCCACCUACCAGGGCAUCUGCCUGGGUCCUCACCAACAGACAUGGGUGCAGAACUGAAGCCAGGCAGCCACCGGGCCAGAUCCCCCACCCAGGUCUGAUAUCUGACUCUGGGCAACCCCAAUCUAAAGACAUUAAUAAAACUUUCUAAAAAAUGGUUCUUUCAUCUGAACUGACCCAUCCUCUGUGUGGCGUGGUAAAAUUUCAUGGCCUUGGGCUCAGUACUGCCUCUGUGUAUGUGAGUCACCCCUCUGUCUAGCUUUUUACAUCACCCACCCUGUAGUGGCCUGGGAGUUAUUUCCACAAUCAGAUCAACUGCCACCAUAUACCAAAGACCAGCCAUGAAAGUCCUUCCUUCGGGUGAAAAAGGGAAACUCGCAGUGUAAUAAACAAAUUAAAAACCAGCUUGUAGUGCUUGCUAAGAUCUGGGUAAGGAUGUUCCAGGGUUGGGCGUGGCAGUAAACUUUUAGCAAUCCUCCUGCUUCAGCCUCCUGGUGCUGGAAUUACAAAUGUGUGCCACUGUGCCCAGUUGCUGUUUUUAGUUUCUGGCCAUGGCUGAAUUUUAGCUUAUAAAAUCAUAGAUGAAAGAAAAGUAGUCAAGCCAGACACUGCGUGAGGUUUCAGACAACCAAUGGGCUCUUAGAAGACAUUCCCUAGGGGGCUGGAGAGAUGGCUCAGCGGUUAAGAGCACUGACUGUUCUUCCAAAGGUCCUGAGUUCAA
rnacentral:sRNA from 1 species